GGUUGGUCCGAGUGCAGUGGUGUUUACAACUAAUUGAUCACAACCAGUUACAGAUUCCUUUGUUCCUUCUCCACUCCCACUGCUUCACUUGACCAGCUUGAA
rnacentral:Y_RNA from 1 species